GGCCCAUUCCCCAAUCCAUAAUUCCUAAGGCCCAUGGUUGCCCAUAUGGUACAUAUUCCCCCACCCCCAGUUUGUCUCUGGCCAACCCUGCUGGCCUUCCUCCAGCUCCUCAGUGUGAUACAUAUCUCACAUCUUUUUCUCUUGUGCAGGUUUUCAAGCCAGCUAUGGCCUUCUCUGGUAUUCAAAGAGUGCUGGCCGCCAUGUGCCAGGCCAUCUGCCAGUAAAGAAGUGAAGAGGCAGUCCUCCUGCUUCCCAGGCAGAGGAUGAUGGCGUGCUUUCUCUUGCCACACCCGAUGUCAUGCCUGAUGGAUCUCACCAAGACUUAAGAGCCAAGCAUCCCCAGACAGCUAACACUAAGUAAAAACCAGGUUUCUUAUGAAGAAGCAAAC
rnacentral:lncRNA from 1 species